rnacentral:lncRNA from 1 species
AGCGGGCUGCAGGGCUGCGGGCGCUUGGUUCGGCCUGGCCCGGCCGGCGGCUCCUAACACCGGGCGGGCGGCUGCGGCGGCACUUCCGGGUUGGCCUUCUCCAUGUUGGUCUCGGGAACGUGAAGGGGCGGGGCCUCGAGGUCAGGGGUCAGCACCUCCCUGGUUGCCGUGGCGACUGGAGGCGCGCGACGCGGGCGCAAUGGCGGGGACCCGGGGCUUGAUGCUGCUUGGGCCUGGCCCAGUGGCGGGUCCUAGGGACGUGGGUACCUGCAGAGGCCGGCAGAUGGAGAUUCAGAAACAUAAGGACAACAAGAAACUUCCCCAAGGUAUCAUUAUAGUCUUUAGACUUCAGACACACACCACACCUCAAAUAUAUACACAACUGAAAGGAAAAUUAAGGAAGUUUUUCAAAGAACCCUAUUCCGAGUAAGAAGUGUGUUGCAUGAAUUUCUAAGAGCCAGAAAAUGCAUGACACAGGAGAAGAUGUACCCUCAUCUGUUCAGUGAGAGAUGUGCAAAUCAACAUCAACACAGAACUGCUGAAGAAAAAAAAUAUGUCUCUGAAAAGCAACUUAUUCACUGGAGAUGUGAGGAGCCAUCCGCACAUCACAAUUCUAUAGACAUCAAACGCAUGAAGCAUUUCGGAUCUGCUUUAAGACUGAGGCAGACUUUCCAUCUGGACACAGCCGACCAUCCAUGUGUCAUUACAAUGAAUCCAGCACUUCCCUGGAAGCUGGAAGGGUCAAAUUCAACUUCAACUCUGCCACUUCCUGCUUAACUUGCUGUUUAACCUUGGGCAAGCUGCCAUCCCACACGAGGCCGAAGGUGUCGGUUUUUAAAAUACAGAAAUUUGGUUCCAUGAGGGAUUAUCAAUAUACUGCUGGUGGGCCAAAUUCCAUCUGCUACUUGCCUUUGUAAAUAAAGUUUUAUUGAAACACAAACAUGCCCAUUAGUUUACUCUUGUCUGUGACUACAAGGGCAAAGUUGAAUAGUUGUUACAGAGACCAUCAGGCUCACAAAGCCUAGGUUAUUUACUAUCUGCCCAUUUACAGAGUAAGUUUGCCAGCCCUGGACUGGAUAAUUUUUUGAGUUCUUUCUAAUUCUAGAAUUCUUUAUAUAUUUUAUGAAACCCCUAAUGUUUAUAUAUUAAUUAUUUCAAUACCCGUGUCUUUACUGAGUCCCUCCUAUGAAGCAUACAUCAAGACAUAUGUGUGAUACAUUAACUAAACUUUUAACAGUAUCUUAAAUAGGAUUUCAAUGACUAACAGCUCUUGGAAAUAUCCAAGGUAACAUUUGGGGGCAAAUGUCUUAUGAUUUGAUUAUCAUUGGUAAAUAGAGCAUAUCUUUUUUUCCACUAACAAUGUUUAAGAAGUUAAAAAAAAAUCAAGAAAACCCCGUAUGGCACUAGAGACUUAUUGCAUUAAGACAUCAUCUUAACAGAUUGUUUAGUUUUGGUAAUAUAAUUUGACAUCUAAACAUAAGCUGAGAGGGAUCUCCCUCAAAACCUUUGAUAAUAUGAUUCAUUGUCAAAUGUUUGUUUUGCCUAUCUGGCACUCAUUAAUUAAUUCUUUUUAAUAUAGCUUGGAUUUACUGAUUUUGAAAAAGAGAAUUAUUCUUAUUGAUGUUGCUAAAAUAUCCAGGUGGCUUGAAUUUCACCAACUAGAUAGUUUAAUCUAGCACAUUUGUGUAGCCCUAAUCAAAUCUUUACUAACAGAUGUGAGAAGCCCAGUACUGGAGCUAAUGUUUGUGUCUCAAUGAUAAUUAAAUUAGCUUAAUAAGGAAAAUAAAUGAACAAUAAUCACCAAAAUUUUUCCCUAAACCUGUGUUAUAGUCUUAAAAACAUUUUUUCCCCUAUGGAGGCUUUUGGUAAUAAAACACAAAUUGAGGGAUUUUAAUUAAAAGAAAUUUUUUUUUCAAGAACUGGUCAUGUACUAAAUUGCUUAUAAUCAAAUAAUCAAGUAGCAUUUCUUUUAUUAUAAGAGCAAAACCUAUAAUUAAGCCAAAAUUCAAAUUUGUUUUUAAAGGUUGAAUAAUCUUUUGUUUUGGCCAAUAGUAUGUGGAUUUUUUUUUUAAGUAUUAUCUCUUUGUAGUAUUUUCUAAUGGAUAGGAAAUGCCUUUCUCAGGUUGAAUGAUUAUUUCCACAUAGAAUUAGUUCCUGCUUACAACAGUGCUCCACUAAUGUAAUGGCUCGGUGAAUUGGCUUUAUAAUUCAUUAAUCAUAGCUCACAUUGAGCUUUUGGCUCCAGGUGACAGUGCCCACCACAGGCCAAAUAACUUCUCAUUUAAAGGCAAUUUGUACAAAUAGGGAAGGUGAGAAUUCUCACAGUCCCAGAGGGAUUGAAGAGUUUUAAAAAACCAAGAUAAGGCAUUUUAUGGAAGACAGGUUGAUGGAAGAAAAGUGGCCAUUGGAGGAUGAGGCAGAUGGCUUUCCAGGGAGGCCCUGGAGCUGCCACCAUGGGGAAGGCCAUGUUGCAGCUGCUGAUCAGAGCACAUUGGACGGUGUUUCCGUGUGAACAUGAAGACAAUGCUGCCUCUGUUUCUGUGACGCUGUGCUCUGAUCUUGCUGGAGGCGAAGUGGUGUCAGCUGUGCUUACAGGACAGUCAGUGGUGGUAGAAAAGAGGCCAGUGUGACCUGUGAAGGACUGGGCCCCUCUCACUCAACCUGAGUGCCUGCAGUUGUGGCCACCUUUAUUUGUGUAUUCUACUGUAUUUAUUUAUUUGCCUGGCUAAUUAGCUCUGUGCCACAUUCCUAAGCUAGAUGUGUCCCUUCAUGUAAGUGAGAGGGAGACAGAAAGAAAGACUGAGGUGGGGGGUAGGAGAAAGAGAGGAAAGCAAGCAAGAAGAAAGAGAAAGAGAGAAGAAGAAAGGAAGAGGAAAGAAAGAGAGAAAGAGAAAGAGAAGGAAGGAAGGAGAAAGAGAAGGAAAGAAGGAGCCUUCUAAUUUUAUUUCAUUUCUCCAAUAAAUGUUCCUAUAUUAAGACUUUAGACAAAGAUUAGAAAUAUGAUUUGACAGAAAGUGUAUGGAUGUGUUGUUCUAUUGCAUUGUAAGUAAAGUAUCCAUGGCAAUAUACAAAUAAUACAGCUCCUACCCCUAUUCUCUGUUGUUACUUUCAUGUGUUGUCUUAACUUUUUAAAUUUCAAGAUAAUAUUGCGCUUAUUUAUUUUUCCAUGAGGAGGCCUAGGAUUUAGCUUGAUUAGAAAAGCUGUGGAAAAUGAAUGUGCUAAUUACUUUAAAUCAAAUUGAAAAUAAAUUUUAUCCUGUUUCAUGCAAAACA